GUAAAUGUUCCAUGAUAAUGGGUUAGGUAAAUGUUUCAUGAUAAUGGGUUAGGUAAAUGUUUCAUGAUAAGAAUUUCAUGUCUUUUGUAUUAAAGAAUUAAAUGGAUGAAAUAUGAAGUUUUAUUAAAAGAAAAAGGAGUGAAAAGAACAAAGUUUUGUCCAUCUUUGUUCAUUAUAGCUGAAAGUUAGAGAAGAGAAAGAGAGGAGAAAGCUCUUGAGUAUUUGGUCAUUAGGAGGAGGAAAAUUGAAGGCAGUUCGUGUGUGGAUCUCGUCAGCAUAUCGUCGCAAACAGGUGUGUAACUAACACCCUCUUUCUUAGUCUAGAUCGGUAAAAGCCGAAAAGCCGAAAUGCCAAAAAUCGGUAUUUUGUAGAUUUGCGAGUGUACGAAUGCUCGUGAGGUAAAUCGAUUAAUGUUUUUGGUAAACUGCAAUGUUUGGACAGCAAAGUGCAU